rnacentral:rRNA from 1 species
AUUGAACGCUGGCGGCAUGCCUUACACAUGCAAGUCGAACGGCAGCACGGGUGCUUGCACCUGGUGGCGAGUGGCGAACGGGUGAGUAAUACAUCGGAACAUGUCCUGUAGUGGGGGAUAGCCCGGCGAAAGCCGGAUUAAUACCGCAUACGAUCUACGGAUGAAAGCGGGGGACCUUCGGGCCUCGCGCUAUAGGGUUGGCCGAUGGCUGAUUAGCUAGUUGGUGGGGUAAAGGCCUACCAAGGCGACGAUCAGUAGCUGGUCUGAGAGGACGACCAGCCACACUGGGACUGAGGAACGGCCCAGACUCCUACGGGAGGCAGCAGUGGGGAAUUUUGGACAAUGGGCGGAAGGCUGAUCCAGGAAUGGCGCGUGUGUGAAGAAGGCCUUCGGGUUGUAAAGCACUUUUGUCCGGAAAGAAAUACUUGGCCCUAAUACGGUCGGGGGAUGACGGUACCGGAAGAAUAAGCACCGGCUAACUACGUG